rnacentral:rRNA from 1 species
UACGGGGGUGGCGAGCGUUACUCGGAUUUAUUGGGUGUAAAGGGCAGGUAGGCGGUUAUGCAAGUUGGGGGUGAAAUCCUUUGGCUCAACCAAAGAACUGCCUUCAAAACUGCAUAACUUGAGGACAGAAGAGGAAAGCGGAAUUCCCGGUGUAAGGGUGAAAUCUGUAGAUAUCGGGAGGAACACCCGUGGCGAAAGCGGCUUUCUGGUCUGUCCCUGACGCUGAGCUGCGAAAGCUAGAGGAG